rnacentral:rRNA from 1 species
ACGGGUGAGUAACACGUAGGCAACCUGCCUGUAAGACUGGGAUAACUACCGGAAACGGUAGCUAAUACCGGAUAGCUGGUUUUCUCGCAUGAGAGAAUCAUGAAAGACGGAGCAAUCUGUCACUUAUGGAUGGGCCUGCGGCGCAUUAGCUAGUUGGUGAGGUAAUGGCUCACCAAGGCGACGAUGCGUAGCCGACCUGAGAGGGUGAACGGCCACACUGGGACUGAGACACGGCCCAGACUCCUACGGGAGGCAGCAGUAGGGAAUCUUCCGCAAUGGACGAAAGUCUGACGGAGCAACGCCGCGUGAGUGAUGAAGGUUUUCGGAUCGUAAAGCUCUGUUGCCAGGGAAGAACGUCUUAGAGAGUAACUGCUCUAAGAGUGACGGUACCUGAGAAGAAAGCCCCGGCUAACUACGUGCCAGCAGCCGCGGUAAUACGUAGGGGGCAAGCGUUGUCCGGAAUUAUUGGGCGUAAAGCGCGCGCAGGCGGCUAUGUAAGUCUGGUGUAUAACCUCGGGGCUCAACCCCGGGUCGCACUGGAAACUGUGUAGCUUGAGUACAGAAGAGGAGAGUGGAAUUC